rnacentral:rRNA from 16 species
AAAGCUAUUGAACUUAGGUAUGCUCUUUCCUUUUGUCGAAGUGGAAUCGUAGAACAGAAUGUGAUAUGAUGAGAUAUCUGGGGAGGUCCGUUUAGUAUCCCAAAAUUGCUUAGCAACAGUCGGACACGUGGGUAAUGUUGGGGUGAACCAAAAAAGUUUGGGUAGAGCCGGCUCUAAGUGUUGGCUAGGUAAACGCCCCGUAGUAUUUCAAGUCCGCUGUCAAAUCCCAGGGCUCAACCCUGGACAGGCGGUGGAAACUACCAAGCUGGAGUACAGUAGGGGCAGAGGGAAUUUCCGGUGGAGCGGUGAAAUGCAUUGAGAUCGGAAAGAACACCAACGGUGAAAGCACUCUGCUGUGCCGACACUGACACUAAGAGACGAAAGCUAGGGGAGCAAAUGGGAUUAGAGACCCAGUAGUCCUAGCCGUAAACGAUGGAUACUAGGUGUUGUGCGACUCGACCCGUGCAGUGUUGUAGAGAUAAGCCCGUGGCUCUUUCCAUUGUGCAAGCAAGAUUGGUUGGAUU